rnacentral:rRNA from 1 species
GAGAUGUGUGAUGACGCAUAUCAAUAAGCGGAGGAAAAGAAACUAACAAGGAUUCCCCUAGUAACGGCGAGUGAAGCGGGAAGAGCUCAAAUUUGAAAUCUUAAAGGGUUUCCCUUUACGAAUUGUAGUUUAAAGAAGUGUUUUCUGUUGGAGUUUCGGUAAAAGUUCUUUGGAAUAGGACAUCAUAGAGGGUGAGAAUCCCGUAUUUGACCGUUACUUUCCAGCUGUGUGAUACACUUUCAAAGAGUCGGAUUGUUUGGGAAUGCAGUCCAAGAUGGGUGGUAAAUUUCAUCUAAAGCUAAAUAUUGGCGAGAGACCGAUAGCGAACAAGUACCGUGAGGGAAAGAUGAAAAGAACUUUGAAAAGAGAGUUAAACAGUACGUGAAAUUGUCAAAAGGGAAGCGUUUGACACCAGUGUUGUUUAGUUGAAAAUCAAUUCAAUAGUUUUUGAUUCUAAGUAGUAUUGACUUCAUCAGCUUGCUGCUUUCUUCUCAGAAAUUAUUGAAUGCACUUUUCAGUUAACAAGUCAACAUCAAUUUCUUUUGUUGUAAAUAGGGUAUGAGGAAGGUGGCCUUCUUUUCGGAGAAAGUGUUUAUAGCCUUGUAGCCUCUGCAAUCGGAGAGAUUGAGGUCUGCAGCGUAGAUCCUUCGGGGUUAGAUACAGUUUGUGCUAAGUUAUAGCUUUUCAUAGACAACUUGUUGACUAUGUUAGUCUUGUAGCUUACUCGCUGAUGCUAUUUUACCUACGCUUAGGAUGUUGAUAGUCACAGCGUGUAC